AAGGGCACCACAAGAACGCGUGGAGCAUGUGGCUUAAUUUGACUCAACGCGGGAAAUCUUACCGGGUCCGGACACACUGAGGAUUGACAGGCAAUAUUAUAAUUUUUUAAUUGAAAUAAAUUUUUAUUAAUUUAUUUUUUUUAUUUUUUAUAUGUUAAAUAUGCUAGUCCUUUCAUGAUUAUGUGAUAGGUGGUGCAUGGCCGUUCUUAGUUCGUGGAGUGAUCUGUCUGCUUAAUUGCGUUUCACUAUUGGGCUUAUAUAAUUACGUAUGUUGUUAACGCUUUGACCCCUUUCUACGGAUUGUGCGUGUCUUUGUCUCGUUUAACUCAUACAAUUAAGCCCUGAAAGCAACGAACGUGACCGCAACCUCUUGUUGCUCUCAUAUUACCUUAUACUGCAUAAUAUUUGAAUAAUUUAUUUUAUUUUUUUUAUGUUUAAGAGAGCUUUCUAAACUAGAGGGACCGCUGUUACUUUCUUAAACCAGAGGAAGGUUGCGGCAAUAACAGGUCUGUGAUGCCCUUAGAUGUUCCGGGCUGCACACGUGCUACAAUGAUUAUUGCAGUGAGCAUCUCAUUUUUUACACAUCGCAUGCGCGAGUCCAUUUAUUCAGAUAUCUUUCAUUUACUUUCGGGUGAAUGUAGUGUUUGCUUUAAAUGUGUAUCUCUGCGCGCGAUAAAGCCUGCUUCGAAAGUAAGUGGGUAAUCAAUUAGAAGUAAUGAUUUCCUUUUUUUUUCUGCACACAUAUAUAUGGCACUUAUACCCGGGUAACCUUGUUGUUACUUUUGUGCGUAUACGUGAUAAUCUUUACCGAUUAUACUACCAUAUGUGCAAUUGUCAAUUCAUGGUGGGGACAGACCAUUGUUAAUUGUUGGUCUCGGUCUUAACUAGGAAUGCCUUGUACGGAUCUUUGGUUCAGCAAACCAUCCGGAAUACGUCCCUGCCCUUUGUACACACCGCCCGUC
rnacentral:rRNA from 1 species